CCUACGGGGGGCGGCAGUAGGGAAUAUUGCUCAAUGGGCGAAACCCUGAAGCAGCAACGCCGCGUGGAGGAUGAAGGUUUUCGGAUUGUAAACUCCUUUUGUUAGAGAAGAUAAUGACGGUAUCUAACGGAUAAGCACCGGCUAACUCCGAGCCAGCAGCCGCGGUAAUACGGCGGGUGCAAGCGUUAGGCGGAAGCACUGGGCGUAAAGAGGGCGGAGGCGGGAUAGCAAGUCAGAUGUGAAAUCCUAGGGCGUAACCAUAGAACUGCAUUUGAAACUGGUAUGCUAGAGGAUGGGAGAGGUAGGUGGAAUUCUUGGUGUAGGGGUAAAAUGCGUAGAGAUCAAGAGGAAUACUCAUUGCGAAGGCGACCUGCUAGAACAUAACUGACGCUGAUGCGCGAAAGCGUGGGGAGCAAACAGGAUUAGAUACCCCGGUAGUC
rnacentral:rRNA from 1 species